UACGUAGGGUGCAAGCGUUGUCCGGAAUUAUUGGGCGUAAAGAGCUUGUAGGCGGUUUGUCGCGUCUGCUGUGAAAUUUCGGGGCUCAACCCCGAACUUGCAGUGGGUACGGGCAGACUAGAGGCAGGUAGGGGAGAAUGGAAUUCCCGGUGUAGCGGUGAAAUGCGCAGAUAUCGGGAGGAACACCGGUGGCGAAGGCGGUUCUCUGGGCCUGACCUGACGCUGAGGAGCGAAAGCGUGGGGAGCGAACAGG
rnacentral:rRNA from 1 species